CCUACGGGCGGCUGCAGUCGAGAAUAGUCUACAAUGGCCGGAAGGCUGAUAGUGCGACGCCGCGUGAACGAGGGAGCCCUUCGGGGUGUAAAGUUCUUUUCUAUACGAGCAGUGCUAUAUAUAUGGAUAGUAUAUAUAGAGGGAUAGUAGUAUAGGAAUAAGCAACGGCUAACUCCGUGCCAGCAGCCGCGGUAACACGGGGGUUGCGAGCGUUGUCCGGAAUUACUAGGCGUAAAGGGCAGGUAGGCGGAUCUACGAGUUUUUUGUUAAAGGCUACGGCUCAACUGUAGUAGAGCAGGAGAUACUGUAGGUCUGGAAUGCGGUAGGGGAAGACAGAAUUCCUGGUGUAGCGGUGGAAUGCGCAGAGAUCAGGAGGAAUACCGAAGGCGAAGGCAGUCUUCUAGGCCGUAAUUGACGCUUAACUGCGAAGGUGUGGGGAUCAAACAGGAUUAGAUACCCUAGUAGUC
rnacentral:rRNA from 1 species